rnacentral:tRNA from 1 species
GGAGGGACUCUGGUUCAGUAGAAGAGCUUCUGCCUUGCAUGCGGAAGGUCCUAGGUUCAAGCCAUGCCACCUCCA